UGUUUCGGCUAGGGGGUCAUCCCGACUUACCAACCCGAUGCAAACUACGAAUACCGAAGAAUGUUAUCACGGGAGACACACGGCGGGUGCUAACGUCCGUCGUGAAGAGGGAAACAACCCAGACCGCCAGCUAAGGUCCCAAAGUCAUGGUUAAGUGGGAAACGAUGUGGGAAGGCACAGACAGCCAGGAUGUUGGCUUAGAAGCAGCCAUCAUUUAAAGAAAGCGUAAUAGCUCACUGGUCGAGUCGGCCUGCGCGGAAGAUGUAACGGGGCUAAACCAUGCACCGAAGCUGCGGCAGCGACACUAUGUGUUGUUGGGUAGGGGAGCGUUCUGUAAGCCUGCGAAGGUGUGCUGUGAGGCAUGCUGGAGGUAUCAGAAGUGCGAAUGCUGACAUAAGUAACGAUAAAGCGGGUGAAAAGCCCGCUCGCCGGAAGACCAAGGGUUCCUGUCCAACGUUAAUCGGGGCAGGGUGAGUCGACCCCUAAGGCGAGGCCGAAAGGCGUAGUCGAUGGGAAACAGGUUAAUA
rnacentral:rRNA from 1 species